UUCACAACACCUAAAAAGAACGCAACCUAGUACCGUGUCUGUGGUAUCUGUCGACAAUAUUGUAUUUUCUGUCAAAAUGACACACUGUCAACGACUUUUGUUAAAAUAAACAUGUUUCCUGUAGAAGGUGAUCACGCAUUUAUGGCUAUAUUGCGGGUGAUACAGUGACAAAUUCAUGACUGGUUUCUUCUAAGAUACUGCUCGACCAAAUGUUGCGAAGGUUGAUUGAUUUAUGUUCAAUUCUUCUCAGCUUGAAGACAGCAUUCUGAAGAUUUACUCAUACUUCUGCAUUGCAAGUUGAGAGCCUUCCUACUGUGACUUAUUAAAGAAUUUAACUGGUGUUAAAUUAAAAUCGUGUUUGUCGGGUUUUACGAUACGGUACUCAUUCAUGAAGUAUUAUGCAUGCAGUUUCUCAUUGUUUUUAAAUUACUAUAUAUAUGUAAGUGUAUUUUGUUUUGGGCAAAGUCGGAAUUGUCAUAUUUAUAUUUUGCCUGAUACAAGAAAUUACACUUUUGGUUUUGUUUUUAAAUUAUUAGUAAUUUACGGUGUAUUAUCCUA